GCUAACUGUGCCUGGAUUAGUGACUCCCAAGUGUUGUCAAGUGAGGCAUUCCACACAUUUCAAUCUUCUUGAGACCUGAUGGGCAUGGUUGGUUGGGUCCACUUGAACAACGUUGAAGGAAGUAGAGAUCUGAUGCAGCGGUAAGCGAUUACGAAGGCCCUGUAAUCGAUUACCAGGAAGAAAAACCUGUUUUGUACCAAAUCCUCAACGCUGCUAACUGUGCCUGGCUGAGUGGCUCCCAAGUGUUCGCAAGUGAGGCAUUCCACUCAUAUCAAUCAUCUUGAGACCUGAUGGGCAUGGUUGGUUUGCUCCUCUUCAACAACGUUGAAGGAAGUAGAGGUCUGAUGCCACAGUAAGCGAUUACAUAGGCCCUGUAAACGCAUACCAGGAAGAAAAACCUGUUUUGUACCAAAUCCUAAGUGUUGCUAACUGAGCCUGGCUGAGUGGAUCCCAAGUUUUGUCAACCAUGUCAUUCCACUCAUUUCAAUCAUCUUGAGACCUGAUGGGCAUGGUUGGUUGGGUCCUCUUCAACAACGUUGAAGGAAGUACAGGUCUGAUGCAGCGGUAAGCGAUUACAUAGGCCCUGUAAUCGCUUACCAGCAAGAAAAACCAGUUUUGUACCAAAUCCUCAGCGCUGAUAACUGAGCCUGGCUGAGUGGCUCCCAAGUUUUGUCAACCAUGCCAUUCCACUCAUUUCAAUCAUCUUGAGACCUGAUGGGCAUGGUUGGUUGGGUCCUCUUCAACAACGUUGAAGGAAGUCGAGGUGUGAUGCAGCGGUAAGCGAUUACAUACGACCUGUAAUCGCUUACCAGGAAGGAAAAUCAGUUUUGUACCAAAUCCAAAGCGUUGCUAACUAUGCCUGGCUGAGUGGCUCCCAAGUGUUGGCAAGUGAGGCAUUCCACUCAUUUCAAUCAUCUUGAGACCUGAUGGGCAUGGUUGGUGGGGUCCUCUUCAACAACGUUGAAAGAAGUAGAGGUCUGAUGCCAGAGUAAGCGAUUACAUAGGCUCUGUAAUCGCUUACCAGGAAGGAAAAUCAGUUUUGUACCAAAUCCUCAGCGCUGCUAACUGUGCCUGGCUGAGUGGCUCCCAAGUGUUGGCAAGUGAGGUAUACCACUCAUUUCAAUCAUCUUGAAACCUGAUGGGCAUGGUUGGUUUGCUCCUCUUCAACAACAUUGAAGGAAGUAGAGGUCUGAUGCCACAGUAAGCGAUUACAUAGGCC
rnacentral:lncRNA from 1 species